ACACACACAGAGAACUGAGUUGAUGCUGAGUCUGAGGAAGACACACAACUGCUCUGCAGAGAAGAGGCAGCUAGGCAACUCACUGAGCCAUAUGACAUAUCAGGUGGUGAUAUAGAAGACGAAGAGCAAAACACAAAAUGGUUGAGCAAUGAAGAGCAAAGCCGUUCCAAUCUUGAGGAUGGAAAUAUCAGAACCACCACUUGUGUCAUUGAUGGAGACCAGCCUUUGUAUCCUGGAGCCAAACUUUCAAAAGGGGAAAGUCUGACUCCACUUCUAGGCUACAUGCUACGCCACCAUGUGACCAAGGCAGGAAGUCAAGAUUUACUGCAUCUGCUGCAGAUGCUUCUCCCUGAAAAUAAUUUACCCUCCACCAACUACCUGUUCAAGCGUGCUUUUGACACAGCCAGCUGGCAGUUACAUCACUAUUGUCUGAAUCCUGACUGUGGAGCUUACAUUGGCAUAUUAGAUGUCGAGAGUGUACUAUGUCCAAUGUGUGAUACAGAAUGCAAAGUAUCAGAACAUCUGAGUAAAGGCUAUUAUUUUAUGUACACCCCCUUGAGAGAUGAAAUUAAAAAUCUUUUUGAAAAUCACAACCUUAAUGAAAAACUAUCACAGACAAACAACUCUGAUUGCAUCCGAGAUAUCAGUGAUGGUACACUGUAUAAGAGAAUUCCAAUGCUGACAGACCAGGG